AUCUCUUCAGGGAUAGUCAAUAAAAUUUAAAAUAUAGAGAAGAUUAGCAUGUCUCUGCUGAAGAAUGUCAUGCACAAAUCAACAAAUGAUCUAAAUUUUU